UACAGAGGAUCCAAGCGUUAUCCGGAUUUAUUGGGUUUAAAGGGUGCGUAGGCGGCCUAUUAAGUCAGGGGUGAAAGACGGUGGCUCAACCAUCGCAGUGCCUUUGAUACUGAUGGGCUUGAUUACACUUGAGGUAGGCGGAAUGUGACAAGUAGCGGUGAAAUGCAUAGAUAUGUCACAGAACACCAAUUGCGAAGGCAGCUUACUAAGGUGUUAAUGACGCUGAGGCACGAAAGCGUGGGGAGCAAACAGG
rnacentral:rRNA from 1 species